AGCUUUGCACUCUUUCUCAUUUGUCAAAACGCUCAGUGCUGAGCUCUAUCAAAUGCAAUCACUGUCUUUUGCACAAAUCUAUUUCCAUGCCGACUAACAAAGCUGUGAUUUUUUUUCCCGACGUAGCUGUAUCAGGGCAAUGUGACGUCAUCGACUGUAUGUGACUGUAUCCAGCGCGUGCCGCGGAGCGCGUGCUCUAAGCACAUGGAAAAGGGCUCGAGACAAAGUGCCCAAAGAAAAACCACACACCUGAAAUGGAAUAUCAGUUACAACUUAAUCAAAUCUGGAGCAAAAGGGACCUUCAGAACAGCUGCUAGUCAGCCUGUCAUUCUCUUGUUGGAAGCCUGAAACCGGAGCCACGAGGGAAUGGCAAACUUUUCAGGAAAAGACCUACUCAUUCUGCCCCCCGUGAGCCGACAACUUCUUGACGAUGCCGCUUUGCUGUGAAGAGAUGGAGAUCUGCUGUUGCCUGCGGACAGCUGGCUUUUACACAAGGGGUGUAAAGAUGUGGAAGAGGGUAAGGAAUGCUCUGGCAUUUGGAGUUCAAUAUCAAUAUCAGGCACCGUACUAUUUUUAUUUCUCACAAAUAUGUUAUAAUGCAUUUCUACAUGCAAUUUUAUCUAUAUUCAGUAUUCAGCUGUUGAAUCUGCAAUGUAACCAAAUUAAAACUCACAAAAACUUUAAAUAUUGUACUAUUAUUAUAUACUAAUAUACUUGUGAUCUUCAGUCCAAUACUUAUAAAUCAUUUAUAAAUGAUAAAAUGAUGAUUGCAAUUUGGGGAAUUGGUACUGGGUGCUUUUUGUGCGAUUAUUUACAUGCAUCUUGCCUUUACAAACAUACUUAGUUUGAAUAGGUACACAGACUAAGCCAGUUUUGUUGUAAUUGGCAUCUGCCAACCCUAUUUGGCUGAAUGAAUAAUAAACUUUUUCUAUUUUAAAA